GGAGAACAGUCAGGAACAGGUGAUUUUUGAUUCGGUGUCUCGCCAGAAGAGGUGAAGUCAGACAACUCAACUGAAGAUGUGUCCUGAGGACUGCCAUGACCUGACAACAGCUGAUCUACAUGUCGCUGCCAGGUGUUUUGUGGUCACCAUAUUCUCAACACUUCAAGAAUGAAGCUUGCUGACCAAAGGACUGUUCUUUCCAUUGCUGAACCUGUUGACCCAUUCCACCAGCUGAAAGGAAGCAACCAGCUUUGAUGCCUUAAAAACAGAGGAUGACCAUUUUGAGGGGGAAGCAGCAAGAUGAGCAGACAAAAUCUCAAGAACAACACUCCUGUUUUAUAAGUGUCCCCGGUGACUAACGGAGAACAGUGAAAAAGAAAAUAUAGAAAGUAUUUAUACUACUGUGGUACCUUAAGUGCCUUACAAAAUUACCUAUAAUCCAGAGAGAGGGUCUGUACAGAGAGAUGGCAUUUUCUUUAGAAGGGUUAUUGAUUAUUUACAGAACACCAUAGAUGCACAUAUGGCACACAUGCAGAAUUGUUUCUCUGAAACAGAAUAUUUUCCUAAGUUUUCCCAGGGCCUUAUGUCAUUUUAGAAAUAUCACAUCAUAAAAUUCACACUACACCAGAUCCUACAAUUUAUUUAUUUGGUUUAAACUUUUCCCAGCUGAAAUCCCUGGUGAUCUCAAAUGACAAAGCAUGAAUGCAAAUACAUCAUCUGGAGAUGCACAGAACAAUUUAACUUCUUCAUAGGCGGAAUAAGAUGAUAGAAUGUAAACUCACAACUACAGUGGCAAUCUACCUCAUGUAAGAAGUGCAGGGUGUAUUACACUAUGUCAAAAGCAAGUCUUGCUCAGUUAGAAACAAGAGCAAACUGAUAGAAUUUUAGACUAAUUGGUCAUAAAGCCAGUCAUCCUGUUAUGAGCUAUUACUGUCUGUGAGCUGCAAAGACAAGCUGUAUACCUAUUAAAAUGUCCUUAUACCUGUUAAACUCAAUCACAAUUGCUGUCACCAUGAACACGCAUCUUGUUAUCUAGUGUGCUCAUGCAGCGAUACAAGGCAUUCACUGUCCCAAGAAGAAACAAAGCUAUACAACCUUCAAGUGAUACGAAUCUUGAAAUUAAUAGGAUAUACGAGUGACAG